GGAGGAACCUCUGGAGAGAACCGUUAAAUCGGUCGCCGAAGGAGCAAGUUUUGCGCAAGCAAAGUGAAACUCUCAGGCAAAAGGACAGAGGAGUGGAA
rfam:Vibrio ponticus DNA, contig: contig00011_15, strain: JCM 19238.